CAUCGCCGCGGUAAUACAGAGGGUGCGAGCGUUAAUCGGAUUUACUGGGCGUAAAGCGUGCGUAGGCGGCUUUUUAAGUCGGAUGUGAAAUCCCUGAGCUUAACUUAGGAAUUGCAUUCGAUACUGGGAAGCUAGAGUAUGGGAGAGGAUGGUAGAAUUCCAGGUGUAGCGGUGAAAUGCGUAGAGAUCUGGAGGAAUACCGAUGGCGAAGGCAGCCAUCUGGCCUAAUACUGACGCUGAGGUACGAAAGCAUGGGGAGCAAACAGGAUUAGAUACCCCCGUAGUCCCUGUCUCUUAUACA
rnacentral:rRNA from 1 species